rnacentral:rRNA from 1 species
UACGGAAUGUGCAAACGUUAUUCGGAAUCACUGGGCUUAAAGAGUCCGUAGGCGGCUUGUUAGGUGAGGUGUGAAAUCCCUCGGCCCAACCGAGGAAUUGCGCUGCAAACCGGCAAGCUAGAGGAGGAUAGAGGUGGGCGGAACUGAUGGUGGAGCGGUGAAAUGCGUUGAUAUCAUCAGGAACACCGGAGGCGAAGGCGGUCCACUGGGUCCCUUCUGACGCUGAGGGACGAAAGCUAGGGGAGCGAACGGG